GGAGGUUACUGCUAUCGGUGUUCGCCUCCUUCAUGCGAGUCAUAUGUUCUUCGUGAACAUGGCGUACUGCUCAGUAACACGUGAAUAACCUGCCCUUGGGACCGGCAUAACCCCGGGAAACUGGGGAUAAUUCCGGAUACCGCAUAUAUGCUGGAAUGCUUUAUGCGUGAAAUGGAUUCGUCUGCCCAAGGAUGGGUCUGCGGCCUAUCAGGUAGUAGGGGGUGUAAUGUACCUACUACCCUACAACGGGUACGGGUUGUGAAAGCAAGAGCCCGGAAAUGGAUUCUGAAACAUGAAUCCAGGCCCUACGGGGCGCAGCAGGCGCAAAAACUUUACAAUGCGGAAAACCGUGAUAAGGGGACACCGAGUGCCACCAACAUUUGUUGGCUGUCCAGGUGUGUAAACUACACCUGUUAGCAAGGGCCGGGCAAGACCGGUGCCAGCAC
rnacentral:rRNA from 1 species